CUGAGCACAUGCAAAAAGGGGUAUUCCCUCCUGCGUGUUUCUAAGAGAUAGAGAAAUGAAAAAUAUGAAAGCUGAUGUUACGACUGAGAGGCAGAGGAGCCCCAGGAGUGCGUGCUGCCUUCAAAAUCACUACUGUUCUGAAAGCAAACAAAGUUUUAAGAAACCAGGAUCUGAGGUUUCAUUCCUCAGUCUGAGCAGUGACUCACCCACAUUCCUGACUGCUCCAACAAGAGGCGAGCCCUGCUCCUGGCAGACCUGAUCCUCUGCAUUGCAUUGUGCCAAGCAAAGUCCAGCAGCGGCAGCACAUCGGAGCUGGUGCAGAACGGGGCCAAACCAGUGUUGGCCAAACUCCUACCAAGGUCGUCUAAGAACGCUCAGAGGCAGCAGCUGAAGUUUUUCACAAUUCAAGGACAGCAGAGACAAGUACAAAACUAACUGAGCAGAGGGAGCCAGGCAGCACACAGGAACCUGUUUGCUGUGCUGGUAGCUGCAGCUGCAGACCUGGGGAGGAUGUCUGGGAGAUGCAGAAAGUGGACAUUUUGCAAAAUCACAUGAGAGAGUACCCAGCUCAGCUCGCCUCAGUCCUGCUGUCUUGCUUCCCCAUGGAAACGCCGUGCUGCACCAUCUGCCAGUGCCUCCCUGCAGCGCUUUGAGCUCUGACCCCGGCCCCAUCUGAAAGAGAAUAAACAAAUAAUGAAGAAUGUUCUGGAUGCUUCACCACAUGGAUACCAGCAGACCAUAAUCUGUGUUUUUGUUCUGAGACAAAGAUCAGAAGAGAAAAAAGGAACUUCUGCUUGUCUGGCUGUGCUUUUUGCCUAACACCUAUCACAACUUGUGCAAAUCCUCUCUUACAUACCUAUGUAUACAGAGAUUGAGGUCACAGCUGUAAUCCAACCAAAACCAACACAGCGUGCAAAAAGGAAACACGUCUUUGCCACACACUUUGUCCACUGCAGUAAACUGGAAAGUAAUUCCGCCUUAUGAGUUAAGACAAAACAGUAACUGGGAAUUCAAGUGCAAGGGCUGCUAAUCUGCCCUACUCGCUCAGCGUGUUAUCAGCCAGGAGAAUUAAACUACAUCUGAUAUUCAAAUGGACAGAAUGAAAUGAAGCGCAAAAUCGGCGAGCAAAUGGAACUCGGCUCCUCCAGCUCCGCUCACCCACCGCAGUGCGUGCACUCCCGCACCGGGAACCGCUCCGGCCCCGCUGGAAACGAGCGGCUGCCACCUGCCGGCUGCACAGCCCCGGGCCCUCUGCCCUGCUGCAAAACCCGGAAUAGCUGGGGAAUAAAAAAAGGAUUAAAUUAACAAACAGAAGCUAGGAAUGCAGUAAAAAGUCGCCGAGAAAUAAAUGAUG
rnacentral:lncRNA from 1 species